CAGUUCGGAUUGAAGGCUGAAAUUCGCCUUCAUGAAGCCGGAAUUGCUAGUAAUGGCAGGUCAGCAUACUGCCGUGAAUACGUUCCCGGGCCUUGUACACACCGCCCGUCACACCAUGAGAGUUGGGAAUACCCGAAGCCUGUGAGCUAACGUAAGAGGCAGCAGUCGAAGGUAGAAUCAAUGAUUGGGGUGAAGUCGUAACAAGGUAAC
rnacentral:rRNA from 1 species